AGAGAGAGACAUGCGCGCAUAUCAAUAAGCGGAGGAAAAGAAACUAACUAGGAUUCCCCUCAGUAACGGCGAGUGAAGCGGGAAGAGCUCAAAUUUGAAAUCUUCAAGGGUUCUACCUUGACGAAUUGUAGUUUAAAGAAGUGUUUUCUGUUGGAGUUUUGGUAAAAGUUCUUUGGAAUAGGACAUCAUAGAGGGUGAGAAUCCCGUAUUUGACCAUUAUUUCCAGCUUUGUGAUACACUUUCAAAGAGUCGGAUUGUUUGGGAAUGCAGUCCAAAAUGGGUGGUAAAUUUCAUCUAAAGCUAAAUAUUGGCGAGAGACCGAUAGCGAACAAGUACCGUGAGGGAAAGAUGAUAAAGAACUUUGAAAAGAGAGUUAAACAGUACGUGAAAUUGUCAAAAGGGAAGCGUUUGACACCAGUGUUGUUUUCUCGAAAAUCAAUUAAAAAAGGCAGGAUUUUGUGUUGUAUUGACUUUAUCAGCUUUCUGCACUCUUUUCUUGUCUUUUUUAAUGCACUUUUCGUUUAACAAGUCAACAUCAGUUUCUUUUGUUGUAAAAGGGUCAUUGGAAGGUGGCUUUCUUUUCGGAGAAAGUGUUUAUAGCCUUUGGCCUCUGCAAUCGGAGAGAUUGAGGUCUGCAGCGUAGAUCCUUCGGGGUUAGAUACAUUUGUGCUAAGUUAUAGCCUUUCAUAGACAACUUGUUGACUAUGAUCUGUCAUGUAGCUUACUCGCUUAUGCUAUUUUACCUACGCUUAGGAUGUUGAUGUGAUACUGCGAGC
rnacentral:rRNA from 1 species